rnacentral:rRNA from 1 species
GGGCCAGACUCCUACGGGAGGCAGCAGUGAGGAAUAUUGGUCAAUGGGCGGAAGCCUGAACCAGCCAAGUCGCGUGAGGGAAUAAGGCCCUACGGGUCGUAAACCUCUUUUGCCGGGGAGCAAGGGCCGGGACGAGUCCCGGUCCGGAGAGUACCCGGAGAAAAAGCAUCGGCUAACUCCGUGCCAGCAGCCGCGGUAAUACGGAGGAUGCGAGCGUUAUCCGGAUUUAUUGGGUUUAAAGGGUGCGUAGGCGGGCUUUUAAGUCAGCGGUAAAAAUUCGGGGCUCAACCCCGUCCGGCCGUUGAAACUGCAUCCCUUGAGUGCGCGAGAAGUAUGCGGAAUGCGUGGUGUAGCGGUGAAAUGCAUAGAUAUCACGCAGAACUCCGAUUGCGAAGGCAGCAUACCGGCGCGCAACUGACGCUCAUGCACGAAAGCGUGGGUAUCGAACAGGAUUAGAUACCCUUGUAC